rnacentral:rRNA from 1 species
AGCAGCCGCGGUAAUUCCAGUUCCAAUAGCGUAUAUUAAAGUUGUUGCAGUUAAAAAGCUCGUAGUUGAAUUUCGGGAUCAAUUUAUCGGUCGUGCCUAUGGUAUGAACUGGUACAAUUGGUUUCUCCCUUCUGACGAAGCAUGAUGUCAUUAAUUUGGUGUCGUGGGGAAUCAGGACUGUUACUUUGAAAAAAUUAGAGUGUUUAAAGCAAGCAUUAGCUUGAAUACAUUAGCAUGGAAUAAUGAAAUAGGACGUUUGAUCCUAUUUCGUUGGUUUCUAGGAUCGACGUAAUGAUUAAUAGGGAUAGUUGGGGGCAUUAGUAUUCAAUUGUCAGAGGUGAAAUUCUUGGAUUUAUUGAAGACUAACUACUGCGAGAGCAUUUGCCAAGGACGUUUUCAUUAAUCAAGAACGAAAGUUAGGGGAUCGAAGACGAUCAGAUACCGUCGUAGUCUUAACCAUAAACUAUGCCGACUAGGGAUCGGAUGAUGUUAAUUUUUUAAUGACUCA